GAGUUUCACUCUUGUUGCCCAGGCUGAAGUGCAAUGGUGCGAUCUCGGCUCACCACAACCUCCACCUCCUGGGUUCAAGCGAUUCUCCUGCCUCAGCCUCCCAAGUAGCUGGGAUUACAGGCAUGCACCACCACGCCUGGUUCAUUUUGUAUUUUCAGUAGAGACCAGGUUUCUCCAUGUCGGUCAGGCUAGUCCCAAACUCCCAACCUCAGGUGAUCCGCCCGCCUCAGCCUCCCAAAGUGCUGGGAUUACAGGCAUGAGCCACCGCGCCUGGCCUGUUGUAGGAGGUCUUGAACAAACCACUUAACUUGUUUGGGUGGGCCUUAGUUUCCAUGUUAGUAAUCUGGAAGUAACAGUUCUGCCUUAUCUGUCUGUUAGGGUUUUGACAUUUAGUGAAGUAUGGGACUUGUAUACUGUAAAGUGAUUGAAUGUAUUUACUAGGUGCAAUACAUAAAAUACGAGUUUCAAGCACUGCUCUGCUUUUACUUAUAGAACCACGUUCUCACUUUUCUAGCCUGAUCAUUCAACACCCUUGAACACAUAGUCCUUAUCUCUCGCUCCUCACUGAGACCCUUCCAGAACACUACAAACUUGUAAUACUUAGCUGUAUCACCAGCAAACCAUGUCCUUCCCAAUUUCAGGACCUUUCAAUGUGCUUUCCUCUGCCUGGGGGUGGGUGGGGGGUGGAGGGUAGUUUUCUCCCAACCCAUGAAACCUGUCCACAAAGGUAGAAGAGACAGAAAACCAUUAUUGAAUAAGUAUUAAACCAGAUUCUGAUGCCGUACAUCACAUGCAACCUGCUAAAGGCAACACAAAGACAGAAACUCACUUUUUCUACACAGCUAAGUAGAGAUAGCCCAUCACAUUAUGUAGGUUUUGCAUUUUGGAGUCAGGUGCCAAGUUAAGUCUUUGUCCUCCUAAGAAGCUGGACUCUUGGCCCUUUCGUCCCUUAACAAUUGCAUUUCUUUCUUUCUUUGUUUUUGAGACGGAGUCUCGCUCUGUCUCCAGGCUGGAGUGCAGUGGCGCUAUGUCGGCUCACUGCAACCUCCACCUCCCGGGUUCAAGCGAUUCUCCUGCCUCAGCCUCCCGAGUAGCUGGGAUUACAGGUGUGCACCACCAGGCCCAGCUAAUUUUUGUAUUUUUAGUAGGGACAGAGUUUCACCAUGUUGGCCAGGAUGGUCUCGAUCUCUUGAUCUUGUGAUCCGCCCGCCUUAGCCUCCCAAAGUGCUGGGAUUGCAGGCGUGAGCCACCGCACCCAGCCAACAAUUACACUUCAAGGAGAUGGCUCCCAAGAAACAUUCCUGAGUUGAGCCUGGCCAUAGAAGAAAAAGACUUGAGUACAUUUGGAAAGGAGAGAGGCUGAAAUUUUGAAAGAAAAAGGGAGGGGGAUGGUUUCUUGUCCCUUAUUUUCCGCAGGGAAAAUUAAACCCUAUGUAUAAUUUGUAUUUGCCCUUCCACCUGCAUCACCUUUCCCACAUGCUCCCACAGGCAGGCUCCUGUUCAUUCCCAAGGCUCCGUGUCCACAUCGUGCUUGGAUUCCGCCCGGCCCCGCCUGUGAGGCCGCACCAGGAAGGCACCACCCAUUAGGGGUUCAGCGCGCCCCUCCAGGCCACGCAGUCAGGCCUCCGUCCUUUUAGCUGUAGGGGCAGAUUACGUAACUCCAGCCUUCUGGUCACUAAAGGAGGGUAACAAAGGGCGGUCGAGAGACUCCACUGAGUUGACACGCAGACGCAGCCUCAGGACCCUAAACUCUACGCCCCAACAUACCCUACCAAGUGAGCGCCAGCGGCCGCGUGACGUCAUCUACCCCAAAAGCUGUGGCCCCGGCCACGCACGGCUUCGGGGCGGGACUACGCGGUGACGUCGAGGUGCGCGGCGCAGCGCGCGGCGUCAGUCUUGGCUGGCAGACUUUGUACUCUGUAUUCCGUACGCGGUACUCGCAGCGGCGCGGUCUUCGGCAGCCUAGUCAUCCACCGCCAUCCUGGGCCCCACGUGUUGCCUGACCAUUCCUGAGCCCAGGUGGGAGCCGUGGCUGAGGUGACGGUCUCAAAGUGGAAGAGCUUACUGUCACAGCAACUCUUUUGCAAGAUGCCCCGGCCAGGAACAGUUGCUGAACACCCCAGGCCUGCUGAGGUCCCUCCUUGAGUCUCAUGUUCAAGCAGUCUUGUGAGUAAAGCACUGGCUACCCCUUUUCACUUACUAUCUUUUCAAGGAUGUUCCACCACCUUGGAAGGUAAGAGGUAGUACCUUCUUCCAGAGCAGAGGGCAGGCAUUCUUGCUGUGCGCUGUGAAAGGGUAGAGUCCUGCGCUCCUUUCCUGUAGUAGUCCAGUGGCCCAUGCAGGUGCCUCUGACUCCCCUAUGGGAACUGGGGCAAGCUUGGGAGUGUGGUUGAAAAUGCUGAUACUCUGGCUAUUGCUAUUGCUUUGAAUAAUCAGUGGUCCCUUGUCCCUAAUCGAGGAAUUUUGUAUUUUCUACCAGUGUCCAUGAAACUGGGAGGCGACCUUGUUAGCUGCCAGUUCCUGACAGCCACCUCUCACCAGUGGCCUCACUCUGUGUCCCUGACCCAGCACAGGGCACAAGAGUGCCUGCCAUCCCUCAGUGUUUCUACAGCAGCAAUCCCGAGAUGCCAGAGCUAGAGGGGACCUGACCUGAGAGAAGAUACCUUCAGUGGCUGCCAGGCUGUUCCUUGGAACCUGUGCAGGGGUAAGUGUGCAGGAAGGUCUGACCUGGCAAGUCACUUCACUCCUGUUUUAUUUAGAGUCACCUGGCUAAGGAAAAGUUCAAAAACCGUCGCCUUAUUUUGACCUUCCCGUAUUGUAAGUCAGGUGAUUGAAUCCCAGAAAGGUUCAUUGUCUUCAAGCUGACAGUACUAUUUUGGGACAAACAGUUGUCUAGUGUUUGGACUCAUGAACGCUGAUUCUUGGGGGUGGUAUUUUACUGCUUUUCUGAUUUAGUUUCAACAUGUAUAGUCUUUUCUCCAGAGUUACCUUAGGUCAGUGGCCAGUGUUUCAGCCCCUGGAAAGGGCAUGGGCUGCCACUGAGGUUGGUCACAGGCCUCUCAGCUCAUGGCGGGAGUGGGUUCAGGAGUUGGUAAGUAGGAUUCAGUUCUGUUGUUGCCACUGAUGGCAACAGGGGUUUGUAAUAAUCCCUAGUUGUGUCAAUUAUGUCACUUAAUUUUUACAACAGGUCUCUGAAGUGUUUCUCAUCUCAUUUUUACAGAUGAGGCCUGCCUGUGUUAAUACACUUAGUGAGGAGUGGAGCUGAAUUUAAACGCAAGUCUUGGCACCUUAAUUGAGCAAGUUUGAAACCUCGCUUGUUGCCCUUCUGGAAGGAGUCAGGAAUUUCCAGUUCUGGGCCUUGGCUGUGGGUCUGACAGACAGACCUCUGGCCCUAGGUUUGGGUGCCAGGUUCUCUGCUUCCAGAAUGAGAGGCUUUGCUGUGCACCAGGACCUGGGCCCUUCUGGUAUCUCCUGAAUGAAAAACAAGGGAUAUUUAAUAAAUAUGGAUUUAAAUAUGUAA